GUAGGGUGCGAGCGUUAAUCGGAAUUACUGGGCGUAAAGCGUGCGCAGGCGGUUUUGUAAGACAGGCGUGAAAUCCCCGGGCUCAACCUGGGAACUGCGCUUGUGACUGCAAGGCUAGAGUACGGCAGAGGGGGGUGGAAUUCCACGUGUAGCAGUGAAAUGCGUAGAGAUGUGGAGGAACACCAAUGGCGGAGGCAGCCCCCUGGGUCGAUACUGACGCUCAUGCACGAAAGCGUGGGUAGCAAACAGGAUUAGAUACCCUGGUAGUCCACGCCCUAAACGAUGUCAACUAGGUGUUGGGAGGGUAAAACCUUUUAGUACCGGAGCUAACGCGUGAAGUUGACCGCCUGGGGAGUACGGCCGCAAGGUUA
rnacentral:rRNA from 1 species